rnacentral:lncRNA from 1 species
GUGCCUCCCAUAGCCAGCGCUUGACAAAUGGGCAAGAUUCAGUCCAAGCCUAUGGGCUCAGCCCUUUGUUUCCCAGAGCCUCAGCCUCCAUGCCUAUUCACCCACACACUACCAGCCCCUCCACCCAGGAACAGCAUCAGCAACCACGCAGAGAGGAGCCCAUUGCUGCUGAAGGUGAGAGGCUGUCCUCUGCCUGCUUUCAG